rnacentral:rRNA from 1 species
GCCUACCAAGACAAUGAUGCAUAGCCGAGUUGAGAGACUGAUCGGCCACAUUGGGACUGAGACACGGCCCAAACUCCUACGGGAGGCUGCAGUAGGGAAUCUUCCACAAUGGGCGAAAGCCUGAUGGAGCAACGCCGCGUGUGUGAUGAAGGCUUUCGGGUCGUAAAGCACUGUUGUAUGGGAAGAACAGCUAGAAUAGGAAAUGAUUUUAGUUUGACGGUACCAUACCAGAAAGGGACGGCUAAAUACGUGCCAGCAGCCGCGGUAAUACGUAUGUCCCGAGCGUUAUCCGGAUUUAUUGGGCGUAAAGCGAGCGCAGACGGUUUAUUAAGUCUGAUGUGAAAGCCCGGAGCUCAACUCCGGAAUGGCAUUGGAAACUGGUUAACUUGAGUGCAGUAGAGGUAAGUGGAACUCCAUGUGUAGCGGUGGAAUGCGUAGAUAUAUGGAAGAACACCAGUGGCGAAGGCGGCUUACUGGACUGCAACUGACGUUGAGGCUCGAAAGUGUGGGUAGCAAACAGGAUUAGAUACCCUGGUAGUCCACACCGUAAACGAUGAACACUAG